UACGAGGGGGGCAAAUGUUGUUCGGAAUCACUGGGCGUAAAGGGAGCGUAGGCGGGUUCUUAAGUAAGGUGUUUAAUCCCGGGGCCCAACCCCGGACCGGCACUUUAAACUGGGAAUCUUGAAUAGUGGAGAGGUCGGUGGAAUUGGGGGUGUAGCGGUGGAAUGCGUAGAGAUCCCCAAGAACACCAGUUGCGAAGGCGGCCGACUGGACACAUAUUGACGCUGAGGCUCGAAAGCAUGGGAGCAAACAGG
rnacentral:rRNA from 1 species